ACGCUGGCGGCGUGCCUAACACAUGCAAGUCGAGCGAAUGAAGUUCCUUCGGGAACGGAUUUAGCGGCGGACGGGUGAGUAACACGUGGGCAACCUACUCAUAGAGGGAAUAGCCUUCCGAAAGGGAGAUUAAUACCGCAUAAGAUUGUAGUACCGCAUGGUACAGCAAUUAAAGGAGCAAUCCGCUAUGAGAUGGGCCCGCGGCGCAUUAGCUAGUUGGUGAGGUAACGGCUCACCAAGGCGACGAUGCGUAGCCGACCUGAGAGGGUGAUCGGCCACAUUGGGACUGAGACACGGCCCAGACUCCUACGGGAGGCAGCAGUGGGGAAUAUUGCACAAUGGGGAAACCCUGAUGCAGCAACGCCGCGUGAGUGAUGACGGCCUUCGGGUUGUAAAGCUCUGUCUUCAGGGACGAUAAUGACGGUACCUGAGGAGGAAGCCACGGCUAACUACGUG
rnacentral:rRNA from 1 species